GUCCGGGCAGCCGAAGAGUGUGGUAGGUAACGGUCGUCAGCGCAAGGGUCAUUUCGUCGCUGGGAAGGGACGGCCCUCGCCCGCGGUGAUGGUGGUGAGCUAUGCCCGUGGUCCUCAGGGCCGGGACCCGGGCCCAGCCCAGGCUCCUUUCGAUGUACUGUCUUUCGUUAGCGUCCCCGACCCGCGCUCGCGGGCCUGUAGGGCUCUCCGACAGGGCGUGCUACCGGAGUUGGCCUGAAGCCAGUCCUCGCUUUGUUUUCUGGCUCCUCCUCUCCCGCCUCUCCCGCUGUCUCCGCCCUGUUCUAUUUUCCCUAAGAAUGUCUGAACUGGGAGGGAUACCCUAGCGCCCUUGUUUUACCAGUGAGAAAACUGAGGCCUUUAAGAAUUAAGUGACUUGUCCAAGGUCACUAUCCGUAUUUUAGGAGCCAAGACGAGAUCAAGUUCAAUAUUCCAGGAGUGGUACUGACUAGACCUUGUAGUUAUUUUAAAAAUGUUAGCCUCCAAUUACAAAAGCAAGCAUUUCCUAGUUCUCACUCAACUUCUCCUUUUCCCUGUUCCUCUCAAAAAAGAAAAAAAAAAAAUCAACUCUGGUAACUCAUUGCCAGUCUGAAUUUUCAAUAGGCCAGAUGGAAGACAACAAAAGUAAUCUCAAGUUAGUGACAGAUUAGGUGGGAAAACGUUAGUUUACGCCAAGUUUUAUUUAAUUUAAACUUUUAAGUGGCUUGAACGCUUUCAAAACCUAACUUUCCUCUUCUUUCAACAUCAUUUUGGUUUGGGUUGUCUGUUUUUACUGAAUAUUGAGGACUUUGUAAGUUAGGAAUUAGUUUGAGAUUUGUUUUCUCCUUAUCCCACCAGCAGUGUGUGUGUAAACACACAGAUCCACACACUUAGGUUUAGCAGUUGUAAUUGUGGGUUCAUCCUAGUGAAGAGUAAAGCAAAACACUUAGAGCCUUAUCUAGUAAUUUUAUUUUUUUGAUUAAUUAAUUAUUAUUAUUUUUUUUUUGAGACAGAGUCUUGCCCUAUCACCCAGGCUGGAGUGCAGCAGCGCAAUGUCGGCUCACUGCAACCUCUGUCUCCUGGGUUCAAGCGAUUCUCCUGCCUCAGCCUCCUGAGUAGCUGGGAUUACAGACACCUGCCACCAAGCCCAGCUUAUUUUUCUAUUUUUAGUAGAGACGGGGUUUCACCAUCUUGGUCAGGCUGGUCUUGAACUCCUCACCUCGUGAUCCACCCGCCUGGGCCUCCCAAAGUGCUGGGAUUACAGGUGUGACCCACUGUGCCCGGCCUGGUAAUUUUAUUUUUUUACUAAUAGUGUUUAAUCUUUUUUUGAUGUUUAGUAUGUAUGACUUCUCCCAAUUUUUGGAUGCAGUCUGUGCAGAAGUGAUCGGCAGUUAUGUUCAGUUUUGGAACUCCUAGGGUCAAAGUACUUGAGUUCAAAUUUUGCCUUUCCACUUUCUAUCUCUGUGCCUCAGUUUCCUCAUCAGUAAAAUACAGAUUAUUUUAUUAAUAUAAAUAUGUAACAAUACGUUCUGGGAAUUAAAUGUGAUGUUUAAAAAAAAAGCAAACCCACACUGCAUUAGCCCAGUGCCAAGCACAUAAGUGUUUAAUAAAGAGUAAUGAUAUUAUUAACACACUUGAAAUGUAUCACCCCUUCAGUUAAUAGAAUGGUAAACAUGUUAGGAUGCCUGCCUAGAGGAUUUAGAAGAAAAUGCUUUGUAAAUGUUCUAUAUCUGAAAGUACAUGUUGAUGUCCAGGUUAGCAAGAUGAACAAAGAUGCGCAGAUGAGAGCAGCGAUUAACCAAAAGUUGAUAGAAACUGGAGAAAGAGAACGCCUCAAAGAGUUGCUGAGAGCUAAAUUAAUUGAAUGUGGCUGGAAGGAUCAGUUGAAGGCACACUGUAAAGAGGUAAUUAAAGAAAAAGGACUAGAACACGUUACUGUUGAUGACUUGGUGGCUGAAAUCACUCCAAAAGGCAGAGCCCUGGUACCUGACAGUGUAAAGAAGGAGCUCCUACAAAGAAUAAGAACAUUCCUUGCUCAGCAUGCCAGCCUUUAAGAUUGAAUUAGAUUGUGUUGUUGUGGUUUUAUUUCUGAAAGUAAAACUUGCCAUAAAUUAGAAAACAAUUUCCCAAAAUAAAAUCCUUUUUUGUAUGAUGGUA
rnacentral:sRNA from 1 species